UCGCUUCUUGUGGUCCCUUCGCCAACCUCCCCCAAAGGGUAAAGUGAUUACAAGCGACUAUGAAAAUAUUGAGCAAGUUCUACCAGAAGGAUUUUUACAUCGGACGGCUAGAAUUGGAAAGGUGAUUGGAUGGGCUCCACAAAUAGCGGUUUUAGCCCACUCAGCUGUUGAAGGAUUUGUAUCUCAUUGUGGAUGGAAUUCUUUACUAGAAAGCAUAUGGUAUCGUGUUCCAGUAGCCACAUGGCCAAUAUAUGCAGAAUAACAAAUCAACGCAUUUCAAAUGGUGAAAGAUUUGGGGUUGACGGUAAAAAUUAAAAUUGAUUACAAUAAGGAUCAUGAUCAUAUUGUAAGUGCUCAUUGUAGGGACCCCUCCCCUUGGGAAACACGUGGCACGCGGCUCAUGGUGACGCGUGGCACGUACUAUCGGCCGGACCAUCAUCAUCCGGAUUCCCCUACAGAUAUGUAUGGUGCGGCUAUCCUAUCCGGAACCCCAAAGGAAAGACAAACAACGUUUCAGCUUCUCCUAUCCAAGGAAGAGCAAACGACGCUGGCAGAGCGUAGACACCCGGAUAGUCUCCACAAACACAUCCGGAUAUUCAGCAUGAUCCAUCCGGAUAUAAAUCGUCUGGAUGAUCAAUUAAAGUAAAGCGAGUCUUACACGCAAUCACAACAAGCAGCCAUGGCCCACAUCCCAUCACCUGCAGAAUGAGAAGACAAGAGGAAGUGACAGCAAGUCACUUCCCACGAUCAUUCUACAUAAUCGCUUCCCACGAUCUCUGACAGCCGCAUCAUCUACCAUGGUCUCUGACAGCCAUUCGUAGGAUGAUAGUGCUCCUACUAACACCUAUUGUCAUCAUCACAACAGAAAAUAUCUCCCCACCAUUAAUGAGAGGAACAGUACCCCUGAAGCUGUAUAUAUAUGACUUCACACGAAGAAGAAAGGGAUGAUCUCCUAGUAACCUCUUGAUACCUAGUAAAAGGCCAACUGCCUCAUAUAUCUUAUUCUCUUACUAUGGCUAACAACAUCAUCGGAGGGUGCAUCCGGACACCCUGUCCGGAUGCCUUUUUGCAGGUACAACCACUGAAUCAAGAACCCCUUGUGUGUUGAGAAUCGCGUGUCCAUCCAUCUAGCAGCAACGCGGCCCACCUGAUACGCGAGGUGACAACACUCAUGAGAUUGAAAAUGGAUUAAGGAACCUAAUGAAUACCAACAGUGAAGUGAGGCUGAGGCAAAAGAAGAAAGAAAUGCAAAAAAUAAGUAGAAGAGUCAUGAUAGAUGGUGGGUCCUCGCACUUUUCUUUAGGCCAUUUUAUUGAAGACAUGGUGGCCAACAUUUCAUACAAGCAACAAAGUCGUGAUACCUAUUGUAUGAAUUAUUUUGUACUAGUAUGAAAGGAAAAGGUGCAUUGUAGGCUCUAAUAAAUUAAUUUAUCAUAUGCUUUAUUUUAAUGCUCAAAUAAUUUCUUUGAUAAAGUCAAGAAAUUUGACCUUUCAAACUAGGAAAUGUGUUAUCUCUUUAUUAUUUAGUAAAACAAGUUUACAAGUGAAUGAAUUUAGUAAUAUGUCGAUCUCAUUGAUCAAUGAAUACACAAUUGAACAUUUUCCGGUACUAGUAAUAAAAUUAACUAUAUAAUUACAAAUCAACAAACCCUAUUGGUUUGAGACAAUCUUCAUAAGUGUUUUUUCUAAAUAUUUUUUAUAUUCUUAUGUGAUUGAAUAUAUUUUGGAUUAUGACUUAUAUAAUUUCUCACAUUCUAAUCAAAAGCAAUAAUUAAAUCUCAAUAAUCAACCUAUAUGAUAACGGAAUCAGUUUAAAUAGGUUUAAAAGUUACUAAUUUAAUAUAUCCUAUUUAUGUACAAAAAAAUUGUGAGUAUUGUCCCGAAAUAUGUUUCUAAUAUCAACAUAACAUUUCUUCCUCAUUUUGUUUGGCUAAUGAAAAGCCAUUAGAAAAAAAAUAUAUAGAUAUUUGAUUAAAAUGAUUAAAAUAGUCUCUAAUUCGAACAAUGCUCUUUUUUUUAAAAAAAAAUAUCGAAAAUGAUAAUAUUUUUUUAAUAAAAAUAUCAUUCAUUUAUGUUAAAGCAAUUUGAAAAAAAGAUAUUUUUAUUCACUUAUAUUUUUUAUUAAUAAAAAUAUCAUUCAUUUAUGUCAAAGCAUUUUAUUUAUUUAUAAGUAUUAAGAUAUUUUUAUUCAUUUAUAAUUUUUAUUUAGAACUUUAAACCAAUAGAAGAUGGCUUUACAAAUUUUGGCCCAAAGAUCCCCAAGAACUUUAUUUGAAAGGUGUAGCAUAUUCGAACCCUUCGUCCAGGGAACAUGAAUCAUAAUUUCGUUGCUGGUUUUAUAUUAAAAUACAUGGGAUACAUCGAGAACCACCCACUUUUGCCUCAAUCUUCAACCAAGACCAACCACAAUCAUACAAAAACGAUAAGGAAAAUAAAUUGAACCAGCAAAGCCCUGACAUCACUUCCUUUGUCCUCCAAUACUAUCCAGCCACAAGUAUAAGAGUGUCACACCACUGCAAAGCCCUCAAAACAUCCCAUUUUUCCUCUCUUUGCAGUAACUGCUAGUUAGUGAUGGAGCAAACUGAGCUGGUCUUCAUCCCAUUUCCUAUCAUCGGCCACCUUACGUCUGCACUGGAGAUUGCAAAGCUGAUUACUCAGCGAGACCCCCGAUUCUCAAUCACGAUCAUCAUCAUGAAGUUUCCGUUUGAGUCCAUUGAUGGUAUGGACACGGACUCUGAUUCCAUACGUUUCGUUACACUUCCUCCUGUAGAGGUCUGCUCCAGUACGACGCCGUCUGGUUUCUUCCUCUCUGAAUUCCUCAAAGCUCACAUCCCAGUCGUCAGAGACGCCAUCCACGAGCUCACUCGCUCCAACUCGGUUCGUCUCGCAGGGUUCGUUAUUGAUAUGUUCUGCACCCACAUGAUCGAUGUGGCCGAUGAGUUUGGGGUGCCUUCCUAUCUCUUCUUCACUUCCAGCGCUGCUUUUCUUGGCUUCCUGUUGCAUCUUCAGUUCCUCCAUGAUUAUGAGGGCUUGGAUUUCAAUAAGUUCAAGGACUCGGAUGCUGAGUUGGAUGUUCCGAGUUUCGCGAACUCAGUUCCGGGUAAGGUCUUCCCUUCUCGGAUGUUUGACAAGGAAGGCGGAGGGGCUGAGACGCUUCUUUAUCACACGAGGAGAUUCAGAGAAGUCAAAGGUAUUCUGGUAAAUACAUUUAUUGAGCUUGAAUUACAUGCUGUUCGAUCACUUUCUGACAGUACAGUACCCGAGGUGUAUCCCGUUGGACCCAUACUCAACACCCGAAUGGGAUCUGGUGGGUGUCAACAAGAUGCUAGUGCCAUCAUGAGCUGGCUUGAUGAUCAGCCUCCAUCGUCAGUUGUUUUCCUGUGCUUCGGGAGCAGGGGAACCUUUGGUGCGGAACAGAUCAAGGAGAUAGCGUAUGGGCUAGAGCACAGUGGGCAUCGCUUCUUGUGGUCCCUUCGCCAACCUCCCCCAAAGGGUAAAAUGGAUUUUCCAAGCGACUAUGAAAGUAUUGAGGAAGUUCUACCAGAAGGAUUUUUACAUCGGACAGCUAGAAUUGGAAAGGUGAUUGGAUGGGCUCCACAAGCAGCGGUUUUAUCCCACUCAGCUGUUGGAGGAUUUGUAUCUCAUUGUGGAUGGAAUUCUUUGCUAGAAAGCGUAUGGUAUGGUGUUCCUGUGGCCACUUGGCCAAUCUAUGCAGAGCAACAAAUCAACGCAUUUCAAAUGGUGAAAGAUUUGGGGUUGGCCACAGAAAUUAAAAUAGAUUACAAUAAGGAUAAUGAUUAUGUUGUAAGUGCUCAUGAGAUUGAAAAUGGAUUGAGGAACCUAAUGAAUAUUGAUAGUGAAGUGAGGCAAAAGAGGAAAGAAAUGCAAAAAAUAAGUAGAAGAGUCAUGAUAGAUGGUGGGUCCUCGCACUUUUCUUUAGGCCAUUUUAUUGAAGACAUGGUGGCUAACAUUCCAUGCAAGCAACAAAGACGUGAUACCUAAUGUAUGAAUUAGUUUAUACUAAUAUGAAAUAAAAAGGUGCAUUGUAGGCUCUAAUAAAUUAAUUUAUCAUCUCCUUUAUUUGAAUGCUCAAAUAUUUCUUUGAUGAUGUCAAGAAAUUUGACCUUUCAAACUAGGAAAUGUGUUCUUUCUUUAUUAUUUAGUGAAACAAGUUUACAAGGGCAUGAAUUUAGUUAUAUGUGGAUCUCAUUGAUCAAUGAAUACACACUUGAGCAUUUUCCUGUAGGAAGCUGGACUAGUGAUAAAAUCAACUACAUAACUAAAAAUCCACAAACCCUAUUGAAUUUGGUUUGAUGGGGAUGAAUAGAUAUAAGAAUUUUUAUAAGAAUUUGUUCAAUUGGAUCACUAUUAAUUUGAUGCUUGCCUUCAGAUUAGAGACAACUAUCCACUUGAGAAAUUUAAUUAAUUUCUGGGCAGUGUUUAUCUUCUUUUCUACAAGCAUGAUGCUCGAAGAGCAAAUUAAUGUUCUCAAACUAUUUGGUGUGUUGGUAUGGAUUUAAGAAACUAACGUCUCAUCAAUGCAUAUCAAGGCAUCUACGCAUGUGAGAGAUCAAUAGAUUCAAAAUGAUUCUAAUUGGAGCAUUUUUUAAUUAAGAGGUAGCUACCUUGAGUCUUGUGAGAAAGAAAAUAAUUAGAUGAAGAAGGUAAUUGGUAUGGAGAUGAGGAUUUAGAAUUAUAAGUUCUUUAGAUUUGAUUAUGGAGAGAGUUGAGAGAAUAUAAUUUUUUUUUUUAUAAGAAAAUUACUAAGAGAUGUGAAAAAAGUCUUUAAAAAAAUGAUAAUAAUAAUUUAAACACAAAAAUGAUUAUGUAUAUAGUAUUGAAUUAUGAAUUUGUCCUUUCCUUUCUUUUAAUGAAAAAUAAAUACAUAUGGAAAUUGAUAAUUGAAGUUGUUAUUCAAUCAUCUAAAGAUUAGCUUAGAUGGAAUAUAUUGUAAUGAUCUACUCCUAAUCGUGUAAAUAUUGUUUACUUUGAAUCCAACCUAUCAUAUCCCAUAAGAUUAGGGUGGUCAAACAAAUUCUCACACUGGGGGGUCAAGGAUCAACUUUAAUACUAUUUGUAAUGGCUCACUCCCAACAGUAUAGAUAUUAUCCUCCCAACUGUAAAUAUUGUUCAUUCUAAACCCAAAAAUCUCUCACAGCUUUAAAACGUGUGUAUAAAAUUAAAAGGAGCUUAUACAUAUAUGAUGUCAGGAUUUUUUUUCCUCAUUUGAUGAAAGAUGCCACAUGUAUUCCCUCAAAAUACUGAUUCCAAUUAGAUGUGAAGAGGAACCAUUUAGUAUUAGAAAGAAAAGAAAUACAUAGAUGGUAAUAUGUAUUAUUUCUAUUCCUUAGUCUUGUUGCAAGGACACUCAUUGCUAUAUAAUAUAUAUAUAUAUAUAUAUAUAUAUAUAUAUAUAUUUAAAGAACUUUGAAAAUUAAUUUUGUUAUAUACAAAAUUAACUUAUAAUUAAAAUAAAAUCAUUUAUAAUACAAAUAUUGGAUUGAUAAAUAAUUAUAUAAGUAAUUAUCUUAAUUUAGCUCAAUUUUAAGUCUUAAAAUACAGAUUCGAAAUAUAUUAAAUAAAAUAAAAUUUCACUUAAAUCUUACAUGGAUAAAUAGAAAUAAUAACUUCUAUACAAAAAAUAAAAAAUUUUAUAGAAAAAAUUGAAAGCUUAUCUUAUUUUCUUUCUACAACUAAAAUUCGAGUGAACAAAAAACUAUUAACUUCAAAUUUUUAAGCUAUUUUAAGAUAAAUCUCUAUUAUUUACCUAAGAACUCAUACUAUCUUUAAUUUUCAAAAAUAAAAAUAUAUCCAAAUGUGCACCUAAAUUUUGUAGAAAAUGAACCUUGAGCAAACUCUCCUAAUCACGUUAUUUUAUCAUUUACCCAAAGAUUUAUGCUUAUCAAAAAUCAAUCAACCACAUUGAGAAUUGAUAAUUUUAGCUAGCUAGUAACAUGUGCAAUCAGAAGAAAGUCAAUGAAGAGUACAUAUAUUCACAUCUCUUCUUUUCUGAAUUCCUCAAAAGACAUCAUCCAUGAGCUCAUUAAUCACACCCAUAAAACAAUGAACAAGAAGAGACCAAGAAAAUAUCAUAUUGUAGGCGCAUCGCCAAAAGGUUUGUUGAAAUAACUUAUACCUUCACCCUCUGAGCUCUAGAAUAGUGUCGAAAAGAACAACCUAAUCUUUCUUUCUUUUUUCUGAACUACUUUUUACCAAGAUCCCAAAGCCUUAGAUGCUAUUUAUAUUUGGACUUGGAGAAUACUUAAAAAUAAAUAGCCCAACUAUGGGCUUAGAGAACUUUUCAAGGGUUGGAUAAACAUAGCUCAACAAAAUUAGCUUAAAAUAACCUUUAAAAUUACCCAUUCAAGACCUAUCAAAUCAAAAGAAAAUUAAAAUAAAAACUUUUGGAAACCUUUUCUAUGCAAAAAUUUCAAAAAAAAAAUAUUAUAUAAAAAAUUGAAAACUUAUCUUAUAUGCUUUCGAUAACUUAAAUUUUGAGAGAACAAAAAACUGUAAAAUUCAAAAUUUUCAUCUAUUUUUCAAAACAUUUGUUUUUAAGAUAAAUCUCUAUUAUUUAUAUAACAACUUAUACUAUCUUUUAUUUUCAAAAAUAAAAAAUUUAUUCAAAGUCCACUUAAAUUUUGUUGAUAAUGAACCUUGAGCAAACUCUCAUGGUCACAUUAUUUAAUCAUUUACCUAAAGAUUUAUGCUUAAAGAAAAUCAAUCAACCACAUUCAGAAUUGAUAAUUCUAAGUAGUUAGUAACACAUGGAGUCACAAUUCCAUACAACAAAUACAUAUAUAUAGAAAAAUUUGAAAUCUUAUCUUAUAUGCUCUUUAUAACUAAAAUUUCGAGUGAACCAAAAAUUUUUAAAUUCAAAAUUUUAAGCUAUUUAAAAGUUGUUUAUGUUUAAGAUAAAUCUCUAUUAUUCAUAUAAGAACUCAUACUAUCUUUUUAUUUUCAAAAAUAAAAAAUGUUUUGAAAGUCCACUUAAAUUUUGUAGAAAAUGAACCUUGAACAAACUCUCUUAAUCAAAUUAUUUUAUCAUUUACCUAAAGAUUUAUACUUAUAAAAAACCAAUUAACCGCAUCGAGAAAUGAUAAUUCUGGAUAGCUAGUAACACAUGGAAUCACAAGAAAGAUGAUGAAGAUUAUGUAUAUUAAUUAUGGUCUCUUCUUUUCUGAAUUCCUCACAACUCACAUCAAUUGGUCUUUGAUGUUGUCCGUGAGCUCACUUGUCACACCCAUAAAACAAUAAAUAGGAAGAGAUCAAGAAGAUCAUACCACAAGGGCUUCCCUAAAAGAUUGAUGAAAGAACUUAUACCUUCACCCUUUGAGCUCCAAAACAAUGCCCAAAAACCAACCUAAUCUUUUUUUUUUCCCUUUUUCUGAACUAUUUCAUCAAGAUUCAAAAGCCCUAGAUGUUAUUUAUAUUUGAACAUAGAGAAUACCUAAAAUAAACAAUCCAACGCAUGGGCGGGAUAAACUUAGCUCAAUAAAUUUAGCUUAAUAUUAACCCUUAAAGUUACCCAUUCAUGGUCUAUUAAUGAAUAUAAAUAAAAUUUUUUGAAAACCUUUUCAAUACAAAAAUAAAAGAUUUGAUAACAAAAAUUGAAAACUCACCUUAUAUGCUUUCUAUAACUGAAAUUUCGAGUGAACAAAAACUAUUAACUUCAACUUUUUCAGCUAUUUUUAAAAUUAUUUAUUUUUAAUAUAAAUCUCUAUUAUUUAUAUAAACACUCGUACUAUCUUUUAUUUUCAAAAAUGAAAAAUAUACUCAAAGUCCAAUUAAAUUUUGUAGAAAAUGAAUCUUGAGCAAACUCUCUCGACCACGUUAUUUUAUUAUUUACCUAAACAUGCUUAUCAAAAAUUAAUCAACCAUGUUGAGAAUUGAUAAUUUUGGGUAGCUAGUAACACAUGGAAUCAUAAGAAAGUUGAUGAAGUUGUUUUCCUCUCUAAAGUCCUAAAAGCUCACAUGCCACUCAUCUCUGAUGUUGUCCAUGAGCUCACUCGUCACACCCAUAAAACAAUAAACAAGAAGAGAUAAGGAAGAUCAUACCGCAAUGACUUUCACAAAAGGUUGAUGAAAUAACUUAUACCUUCACCCUCUGAGCUCUAGAAUAGUGUCAAAAAGAACAACCUAAUCUUUCUUUCCUUUUUCUGAACUACUUUUUGCCAAGAUCCCAAAGCCUUAGAUGCUAUUUAUAUUUGGACUUAGAGAAUACUUAAAAAUAAAUAGCCCAACUAUGGGCUUAGAGAAUUUUUCAAGGGUUGGAUAAACAUAGCUCAACAAAAUUAGCUUAAAAUAACCUUUAAAAUUACCCAUUCAAGAUCUAUCAAAUCAAAAGAAAAAUAAAAUAAAACUUUUGGAAACCUUUUCUAUGCAAAAAAUUCAAAAAAAAAAAUUAUAUAAAAAAUUGAAAACUUAUCUUAUAUGCUUUCUAUAACUGAAAUUUUGAGUGAACAAAAAACUGUAAAAUACAAAAUUUUCAUCUAUUUUUCAUAACAUUUUGUGGACCCCGCAUUUCGAUUGCUCGAUGCGUUUCCCACUGGAUGGCGAGCUCGAUUUUUAUUUUUAUUUGAAAAAUUGAUUUUUAUUGAUUAUUUGAAAAUGACUUGGAGUCGCCACUUAUUUUUGUUUUAUUUUUAAAAGGGUAAACAAAAUAAGAAAGAAAGACCCUAAAUGUGACUCCAUAUUUUGGAAAAGACGGUCUGCGAAAAACCGGAUCGGGUUCGGGGGUCAGGUUACUUGUCGGGAAGGUACGGUAAAGACCGUAGCACCCCUCUAAGCCCCUAAAAUAGGUCUCUACUAAUAAAAUGAAGCAGACAUGACAAUCGAUUAGGCAAAACAGUGAAUACUCGGAACUAUCAUGCACAUAUGAGAAUCAGAAUAUGAAUAGCGAAUGAUCAGAAUGAGUGAAUACGUACCUGGGCAGCAAACAGCAAUGCGCUAUCAUGGAAUGGGGUUAGUGAAUAAACACAGAAUGAUUAUAUACAUAUCAUGGAAUAUAGCAAAACGAUCAUGCGUGGUAAAUAAAUCAAUCAAGCGAUCAAUCAGUCAUGAAUUCACAUAUGUAGGGCCCCCACCAAAGCCCGAUCAAUCUUGCAUGAAUUAAUCUCACAAAUUCCAUUAUUCUGAAAUUAUGAAAGUGACAUUCACGCUUAUAUAAAACCAAGAGGAACAUGAGAUUACUUGAAAACCGGAAUGGAAUUAAAACUGUUCAAGUGAAGACUGGAUUUUUGAAAUUUGUUUGAAAAUUGGAGUAUCGAAAAUUAUUUGGAAAUUGGAGUUUUGGAAAUUAAAUUUAAGAAUUGGAAUUUUAGGGAUUAAAUUCGAAUGAAAACAUAAUUUUGAAAAUUAUUUGGGAAGUAGAAACCAUGAAAGUUAAUUUAUAAAAAAAACAAAUUAUGAAAAUUGGGACUUUGGAAAUUAAAUUUUGAAAGAAAUUAGAAUUAAAAAUUAUUUAAAAUUUUGAAAAUUUGGAAAACUUAUUCAAUAAUAAAGAAACUUAGAAAUUUGAGGAAUUAAUUAAAAAUUGUUUUAAGACAUCCCUAAAGAAAGAAAAAAAAAAAUGGAAUAAAAAAUUUUAUUUGAGAGAUUGAAUCUUAUUGGCGUAAAAGAAAUAUCCAAAUUUUUCAUGCAUCAAGAAAUUAGGUGGGGCCACAUCUCCAAGUUUUUCUACUUAUGGAAAUAUCUCACAAUAUGGCACAUGGCAUGGAAGGAAAACACACGGCCAUGCAAUGAGGGUGGUUGGGCAUAAAGUGGUCAAAAGGUCAUCCAUAUGGGACCCAUGAUCAUGCUUAAAUAUUAAACAUUAUUCCAAAUAAACCAAGGCAGUAUGCCUUUUCAACUGUGUACGCUACCUCCCACUAACUCCCAGAACUUCAAGAAGCUCCUGACUCCUCAGUCAGCCCAUCGCGUCUUAGAAACCCAUGAAAACUACACUGCCCAAUUGUAAAACAGCUAAACAUACUUUCUAGAGCUUCAUCUUCUAUUUGGAUUAAUUUUAAUGGCAUCACUCAGCGAAGGGGACCAUCCUAUGAACCCCGAUACCACUAGCAUACUCUUCUUGGGGCCUCUUAAUUCAGAACCAAAUUCAGAUAUAGAGACCCCCUGCCUGGGCAUGAUAUACUCAUAUGGGAUAAGGUUCAUUCCACCCCUGACAGCUGUCACCACGACACACUUGGCAAUGGUGUGAAAUGCAGCUUUCUCACUAAGAUAAAAUGACCUAUCAAUAAAUACAAUCGGGUCAUAAUCUGGCUGCCCAAAACUUUCAUUAAUUCUCUUACAGCUUUCCUGGAUUUCAGCCUGUACCACCUCGAGAUCUCUCCCAAAAACAUUUCCUCUAGCAGAAAUGAAACAGAAAACCCAUGAGCGCAUCUCCUUCUCUGCUUCUCCUCUGUUUCUCAAGUUCAGCAACCAUAUCUCCCCAUCUGCUUCUCUCUCUCAUUUUCUUACUUAGCUCAUUUCCAUUUCCGUCAAUACUCUAGAUCAAACAGCUCACCAAGCACAACACAAAUAUAGGAAUAACAGCAGAGACAUAGCCAGGGUGAACAACAGGUGUUAAACAAAUAUGGGAAGGUAAAACAUAUGAUGAUACAGAGUUCCACUUCAGGUGACAUCCAUGGGCUCGAAAUAGGUGAGAUUAACGUAUCAAAGAAAACUCAAAAACAGUUCAUGCAUUCAGAGGACUGAGUUCAACCAAAGCAAACAAAAUAUUGUCUAGAACUAGAGCUAAAAAUGUCAAGAGGAUAGGAGAAUAAUGGAAAAUGUAAGACUUAUAGUUCAUACCUGUAAAUGGAUUCCCUACCAGCAAGACUAGUUAGGCUUCUAGCUCUUUUCUAAAGCUCCCUCUCUUCCCUUUGCUGUCCGCCUUGGUUCCUCCUUCUCUCAACUUCUCUCCGUAGCCUAAGCUCCAGGAAUACCCUCCAGAAAAAUCCUCUCUCCGGUGGCUUCCCUAAACUCCAAAACUCCCUCUCUCUAUCCCCCAAAAAUAUCUCUAACGGCCUAGCCUUUUUCCCACCACCCUACAGCUGCCAACCUUCACGGUUUUCAACUUUUUCUGCUGAAAGAAAUCUCCACGUGUCAAGCUUCCAUUGGCCAUCAAAAC
rnacentral:lncRNA from 1 species